rnacentral:rRNA from 1 species
AUUGAACGCUGGCGGCAGGCCUAACACAUGCAAGUCGAGCGAGCGGCGGACGGGUGAGUAAUGUCUGGGAAACUGCCUGAUGGAGGGGGAUAACUACUGGAAACGGUAGCUAAUACCGCAUACCAUCAGAUGUGCCCAGGUGGGAGUAGUUAGUAGGUGGGGUAACAGCGCACCUAGGCGACGAUCCCUAGCUGGUCUGAGAGGAUGACCAGCUACACUGGAACUGAGAAACGGUCAAGACUGCUACGGGAGGCAGCAGUGGGGAAUAGUGAAGAAUGGGCGCAAGCAUGAUGCAGCCAUGCCGGGUGUGUGAAGAAGGCCUUCGGGUUGUAAAGCACUUUCAGCGGGGAGGCGUUACCCGCAGAAGAAGCACCGGCUAACUCCGUGCCAGCAGCCGCGGUAAUAC